rnacentral:rRNA from 1 species
AUUGAACGCUGGCGGCAGGCCUAACACAUGCAAGUCGAGCGGAUGAAGGGAGCUUGCUCCUGGAUUCAGCGGCGGACGGGUGAGUAAUGCCUAGGAAUCUGCCUGGUAGUGGGGGAUAACGUCCGGAAACGGGCGCUAAUACCGCACACGUCCUGAGGGAGAAAGUGGGGGAUCUUCGGACCUCACGCUAUCAGAUGAGCCUAGGUCGGAUUAGCUAGUUGGUGGGGUAAAGGCCUACCAAGGCGACGAUCCGUAACUGGUCUGAGAGGAUGAUCAGUCACACUGGAACUGAGACACGGUCCAGACUCCUACGGGAUGCAGCAGUGGGGAAUAUUGGACAAUGGGCGAAAGCCUGAUCCAGCCAUGCCGCGUGUGUGAAGAAGGUCUUCGGAUUGUAAAGCACUUUAAGUUGGGAGGAAGGGCAGUAAGUUAAUACCUUGCUGUUUUGACGUUACCAACAGAAUAAGCACCGGCUAACUUCGUG